rnacentral:sRNA from 1 species
CUGACUUUAAGUCAGACAUGGAACCACAAAAUACUGGUACAUGAAAUUCUUAAAUAUGUAUCCUUUCAUAUUUAUUUUGUGUAUUUUUUAUGUAUACAUUAUGUAAGUUUUUAAAUCCAUAUUCCAUGACAUUUGUAUUUUGUACUGAACUGUAUUUAUGUCAAACAUUUUCACUAUAUAAGUAAUUUAUAAACUUGCAACCUUUCAUUAUCAAUGGUUACUCAGUUUGUUUGUGUGUUUGUGAGUGUUAUUGUGUUUUGUCCAUGCAUGCUUUUAACAUGGCUUAUUUAUGAAUCAUGUGAACAAAACUUUAGAAUGUUGUGCCCUGCACAUCAGUUUAUCAAAUUCCAAAAAUCUUGUGUUAUACAACUUUUUAUUAUUUUUUGGUUGGGGGGGGGGGGGUGGGUUAGGGUUGCAUUUAUAUUUUACACAUGAAAAAUAUGUAUUGAAAUACAAUAAAACCUCCAUAUUGGGACCUCUAUAGGAUUUCAAGAUAGUGUAUUGAAGGAUUAGAGAUCCUAGAAGUUAGAGUAUAUGAUCAGACAAUGGUUGAGGCUGUAAACUGAUUAGGUUUAUCAAUGGAAUUUAAGAUAUCAAAUUAAUGUCAAAAAUAUAAAAAAUCUGCACAUCUACAUGUUUUUCGAAUUCAUAUCUGUUAUGCAUACAAUUUGUUUCCAAGUCAUCUGUUUUUAGGGUCCAGUAGCAGGCAUAUUAAACUUUUCAUGUUCCAAUGUGCAGUUCAAUUAUAGGAAACAAAAUUUAGUUGGUACUCAUAUGCGGGUAUUUAGCAUGUUGUUUGUCUGUGAUAUGAUUUGAUUUUACUUUUAUCAAUUAAAGAACAGAAAAUUAU